GACAGUGGCUCAGACGGUAAAGAAUCUGACUGCAAUGCAGAAGACCCAGGUUCGAUCCCUGGGUCA
rnacentral:tRNA from 1 species